UUGGGAAUUCUGGCUCCAGCUCUUUCCCUUCUGGUAUUUUCCCUACACUCUUCAAUGUUCAUAGUGUUCAGGUUUAAUCGUUCUCGUUCCCCAGCCGGAAAGAUGUGGGGAUUUCCCUUGUGCGUUCCGUGUCAUUGCUGCGCCCAAAGGACUAAACAUAGCUCCUCAAAGACGGUGAGUGUUACCAUGAAAAUUCAAGACAUACGUUGUUACAUACACAUAUGCUGCUUAAGAAAAUGGAAGAAUGGGGAUGAUCAUAAAAGAUGCAGACUUUUGAUGGUGGAAGAGAAGAGAUCAACAUUUCAGUUUUAGAUGCCGCUUAGACGACAGUACAGAAGUGGACAUGGAUGCUUGUGGAAGAAAAGCCUGGAGAAGCACAUUUGGAUCCAAGCUACAGCACCGUAACCGCAGGAGAACUCAGACUUUUUUUCUCCAAAGAUUGGCUGUGGUCGCGAGCUUUGCCAGCCCGAGUUUUCAAAAUUUAUUUUCUAGCCAGGGCUAUAAUUUUUAUUCCUGUUUCUUGACCAAGAACGGCUUCACGUACUGAACUAACAGCGUGGGCGAGCAGUGGGCCAGCCAGCCGUGGGGUUUCGGCAGAGCCUUGUGUGUAAUGCCCACUGCUCUCCCAUAGAUGGCAGCAUUUCACAGACGACGCCAGCCCCCGGACUCGGGCCCUUCCCACUCCUUCCUCUCAGAGAGAAAACAGCUCCGUAAUCUGUUGACAGGAUUAAGGACCCCUGUUGUUUGACAGGAAGUAAAUAAAUCCUUAUGGUAUUCUGGAAAUCUCAGAAGUAUAUGAGAGUGGUAAGAAAUUGUUUAUUCUAUGGUAAAGGUAUCAAAUGAAUAUUUACAGUGUUUAAAACAAUUAGCUCAGAUUGAUGUGGGCUGGUGUUAAAAACCCAGCCUGUUUGCAUUAUCUAGUUUAGAGUAUUUGUUAAACGCUUGCACAGUAGGUUUACUUUCUGAGUACAGAAUUUCUCCCUGUACAGAGCUGAUGGGGAACGCUAAAGCUGGGAGACAAUGACGUUUUCUUUCCAAAUUCAGAAGAAGCACUUAGAAAUUAAAAUAGUGUCUGCUGCAUAUGCAAACCAUUGCAUAAAACCUACACCACAUGAUAUAAGUUAUAGGAACACAAUCAUCAAAAUAAAAGAUACAAUAACAGAAGAUAAAUAGUGUCACAGUGGGUAUGGUUACGCAGAAGGUUCUCUUUGGCUUUAAAAUCUAUUGAGAUUCUCAAUUUUAAAUAAUAUUAUUUAAGGUAGACAGAAAAAAGUACUCUUGUCAUAAAUCUAGACUGUUGGUGCUGCAUUAAAUGCUUUUAGUUAGGAUUCUUAAAUCCAUCUCUUAAAUAAUUCAAAAAUGACGCAGAGCAAUCAUCUAAAUCCAUCAGUAAGAUGCACCCAAGGAUUGAUUCAAUGAUCCUGUUCAGGUUUUUCGACUGCCCUAGGGUGUGCUGUUUUUUUCUUUUUUCUUUUUUUAACUCCUAAUUUUCUUC